rnacentral:rRNA from 1 species
CCUACGGGUGGCAGCAGUGGGGAAUAUUGGACAAUGGGCGAAAGCCUGAUCCAGCCAUGCCGCGUGUGUGAAGAAGGCCUUCGGGUUGUAAAGCACUUUCAGUUGGGAAGAAAGCCUUGGGGCUAAUACCCCGAGGAAGGACAUCACCCACAGAAGAAGCACCGGCUAACUCCGUGCCAGCAGCCGCGGUAAUACGGAGGGUGCGAGCGUUAAUCGGAAUUACUGGGCGUAAAGCGCGCGUAGGCGGUCUGAUAAGCCGGUUGUGAAAGCCCCGGGCUCACCCUGGGAACGGCAUCCGGAACUGUCAGGCUAGAGUGCAGGAGAGGAAGGUAGAAUUCCCGGUGUAGCGGUGAAAUGCGUAGAGAUCGGGAGGAAUACCAGUGGCGAAGGCGGCCUUCUGGACUGACACUGACGCUGAGGUGCGAAAGCGUGGGUAGCAAACAGGAUUAGAUACCCGUGUAGUC